rnacentral:rRNA from 1 species
UACGUAGGGUGCGAGCGUUGUCCGGAAUUAUUGGGCGUAAAGAGCUUGUAGGCGGUCUGUCGCGUCUGCUGUGAAAAUCCGGGGCUCAACCCCGGACUUGCAGUGGGUACGGGCAGACUAGAGUGCGGUAGGGGAGAUUGGAAUUCCUGGUGUAGCGGUGGAAUGCGCAGAUAUCAGGAGGAACACCAAUGGCGAAGGCAGAUCUCUGGGCCGUAACUGACGCUGAGGAGCGAAAGUGUGGGGAGCGAACAGG